ensembl:lncRNA
AACAAUCUGUAUAUUGGUCCUUGAUUUGAAACUUCUUCAUUAUUCCACGUCUACCCCUGGGUCCCAAAACCUGAAAUUCAUUUAGACUUCCACUGUGUGGGUUUUGAAUUGAAGAACUGGAGGUAGAAGAAGAAAUGCAAGACAAGAGUUAUCCAGUAGGCAGAGCACUGACCUUGCACACAGGAGACUGGGUUUACCUUUGGGAGUCUGUGACUUCAGGUCAUGCGGCACACUUCGUGAGACAUGAUGACAAAUAUUUGCACUUGCUGUACCAACAUACAUCGCAUUGAUCGCUAGGGUCAGUGAAGCCUGUGUAUGAGUUUGAGGAGGCUGCAUCUUUAAAAGCAGCCACAAGAAUGAAACCUGGGCACAGAAUCACAGCCCGUGAUGGUACCACGAGGCCUUUCCAAUCUCCACAGACUGAUCACUGUAUCAAACCAUCGAACCUCAGGGGUGGAUACAGGUGCAUAACAGGAGACUGGAAAACCACGGACAGACCUGAGCCCAGCACAGGAAGAGAAAAGACAGAUGCAGAGGAUUGGCAAGAGGUCACGUUUUCUAGGCUUGUAAUGGAAAGCUGGAAGAAACAGAAAAGAAGUCGGAUAUUGGGAAACGUGUGAUGAGGAGUCUUUGAAAAAGGAACAGUGCGAAGAGAUUGCUCUGCCUGGCAAAAGCUCAUUUUGAAAGAAGGCUGAAACCUCAGUGAGUUAUGAGCCUGCUGAGAAAAUACCACCUCAGGAAAGGCUGGGCAGAAGACACUAAAAUUGAAUCUUGUCUGGAGUUUUGUGUGGACAUUGCUAUUGAGGGGACUCCAAGGAGGUGUUCUGAGUGUUACAGUGCAGACAGGGAGGAGCCUGGAGAGUGAGUUCAUGCUCUUUAGUUUAGAAGAAAUGUCAUAGCGAAGAGUACUGAUGAUAUGUGAUGUUGUGCUCGCCCUGGGCGCAGUAACAGUUGCAAAGAUGGUAAAUAUGGUAAUGACCACAGCCAGAGGUACUGGAAAAGGGUAAUAUCAGCCAUGUGUGAUUACACAGAAUAGUGGGCUUGAAGCUGGGAAAAAAAGCUUUGGCUGAGACGUGCCACACAUUGGAGGGAGGAGGGAGAACUGCUUGGCCGUUGAGAAAACCUCCGUGAAUUCAAUAGCAGGAUUCAAAACUGUAAGCUGUUAGAAGGUCACCUGGAGACAUCUAACUUUGCGUUUGUCCCUUUUCUUACAAAAGCAUCUCCUCUUCCCACGCGAGCGCCCGUGGCUGUGUGAUGACACACUUGAGGUGUCUGCUUUUGAAAUGAGCCAAAUGCUGACAGUCGCGGAUGUAUAAAUAUUGAACUGAGGGCUUUCAGGGUUGCCAGACGUAC